GGACUACUCGGGUAUCUAAUCCCGUUCGCUCCCCUAGCUUUCGCACCUGAGCGUCAGUGACUCGCCAGGACGCUGCCUUCGCCUUUGGUGUUCUUCCAGAUCUCUACGCAUUUCACCGCUCCACCUGGAAUUCCGCGUCCCUCUCAAGCCCUCAAGUGCGGCAGUUUUCCAAGGCCUGUGGUAGUUAAGCCACCACCUGGAACUUGAAACUUACCCCACCGCCUGCGUGCGCUUUACGCCCAAUAAAUCCGGACAACGCUUGCCCCCUACGUAUUACCGCGGCUGCUGGCAC
rnacentral:rRNA from 1 species